rnacentral:rRNA from 1 species
ACGGAAGGCAGCAGCUAAGAAUAUUCCGCAAUGGACGAAAGUCUGACGGAGCGACGCCGCGUGGAUGAUGAAGGUCGAAAGAUUGUAAAAUCCUUUUGGAAGUGAGGAAUAAGUGUGGUAGGGAAUGACCGCAUGGGGACUGUAGCUUCUGAAUAAGCAACGGCUAAUUACGUGCCAGCAGCCGCGGUAACACGUAAGUUGCGAGCGUUGUUCGGAAUUAUUGGGCGUAAAGGGCAUGUAGGCGGUCAUGAAAGUCUGUAGUGAAAUCCCUGGGCUUAACCCAGGAACUGCUAUGGAAACUGCAAGACUAGAAUUACUGAAGGGCAACUGGAAUUCCAAGUGUAGGGGUGAAAUCUGUAGAUAUUUGGAAGAACACCAAUGGCGAAGGCAAGUUGCUGGCAGAUAAUUGACGCUGAGGUGCGAAGGUGCGGGGAGCAAACAGGAUUAGAUACCCUGGUA